UGGGGAAUAUUGGACAAUGGGCGGAAGCCUGAUCCAGCAACGCCGCGUGAGGGAUGACGGCCUUCGGGUUGUAAACCUCUUUCAGUACCGACGAAGCGAAAGUGACGGUAGGUACAGAAGAAGGACCGGCCAACUACGUGCCAGCAGCCGCGGUAAUACGUAGGGUCCGAGCGUUGUCCGGAAUUAUUGGGCGUAAAGGGCUCGUAGGCGGUUUGUCGCGUCGGGAGUGAAAACAGCGGGCUUAACUCGUUGCUUGCUUUCGAUACGGGCAGACUAGAGGUAUGCAGGGGAGAAUGGAAUUCCUGGUGUAGCGGUGAAAUGCGCAAAUAUCAGGAGGAACACCGGUGGCGAAGGCGGUUCUCUGGGCAUUACCUGACGCUGAGGAGCGAAAGUGUGGGGAGCGGACAGGAUUAGAUACCCCUGGUAGUCCACACCGUAAACGUUGGGCGCUAGGUGUGGGGUCCUUUCCACGGAUUCCGUGCCGUAGCUAACGCAUUAAGCGCCCCGCCUGGGGAGUACGGCCGC
rnacentral:rRNA from 1 species